GGGGUCUCAGAUCAUUCAGUGAGGUGGGCUCCUGGUGGGGUCGGGGGCCACUUCUGGUGUGGGGACGUCUGGGGACCUCAGGGUCUGCGGCCCGAAUCCUCAUACCGGUCAGUGUGUCUGCCCUCUGAUGCCUCUCUCAACACCUACCAUCUUAUUUGGGUUUCUCUUACCUUGGACGGCGGCAGAGAGGAGCAACCCCACCUCCAAGGAGCGAUGGUUACGUGGGUGUAGGAGGGCUGAGAGGAGCUACUCCACAUUCAAGGUCAGGAGGGGCGGCCGUGAGGAGAUACCCCUCAUCCAAGGUAAGGAGCAGCGGCUGC
ensembl:lncRNA